GUGGGGAAUAUUGCGCAAUGGGCGAAAGCCUGACGCAGCGACGCCGCGUGGGUGAUGAAGGCCUUCGGGUCGUAAAACCCUGUCGGGUGGAACGAAUCUCCAUCCUGCAAAUAGUGGGAUGGAUUGACGGUACCACCGAAGGAAGCCCCGGCUAACUACGUGCCAGCAGCCGCGGUAAUACGUAGGGGGCGAGCGUUGUUCGGAUUUACUGGGCGUAAAGAGCGCGUAGGUGGUCCGUUAAGUCGGAGGUGAAAUCCCUCGGCUCAACCGAGGAUCCGCGUCCGAUACUGUCGGACUUGAGUGCAGGAGAGGAGAGCGGAAUUCCCAGUGUAGCGGUGAAAUGCGUAGAUAUUGGGAGGAACACCGGUGGCGAAGGCGGCUCUCUGGACUGCUACUGACACUGAGGCGCGAAAGCUAGGGGAGCAAACGGGAUUAGAAACCCUGGUAGUCC
rnacentral:rRNA from 1 species